CCUGGUUGAUCCUGCCAGUAGCAUGUGCUUGUCUCAAAGAUUAAGCCAUGCACGUGGCCGGUACAGUGAAACUACAAAUGGCUCAUUAAAUCAGUUAUGGUUCCUUUGAUCGCUCGAUCUGUUACUUGGAUUACUGUGUUAAUUCUAGAGCUAAUAUAUGCCGACGAGCGCGGACCUCCCGGGGAGCGUGCAUUUAUCAAACCAAGACCAAUCCGGGGCCGAUCGCACGUCAGCCUGACGGCGACGAUGCAUUUAUCAACUUUCAAUGGUUCUUUCUGUGCCUACCAUGGUGACCAUGGGUAUUGGGGAAUCGGGGUUCGAUUCCGGAGGGGGAGCCUGAGAAACGGUUACCACAUCCAAGGAAGGCAGCAGGCGCGCAAAUUACCCAGUCCUAACUCAGGGAGAAAGUGACGAAAAAUAACAAUACAGGGCUCUUUCGAGGCACUGUAAUUGGAAUGUGUACACUGUAAACCCUUUAACGAGUACUCAUUGGAGGACAAGUCUGGUGCCAGCAGCCGUGGUAAUUCCAGCUCCAAUAGCGUAUAUUAAAGUUGCUGCAGUUAAAAAGCUCGUAGUUGGUUCUUGGGAUAGAGCUGGCGGUACUGCCUGUCCAGGCCCUGCCUUUCGGCGCCCCUUGAUGCUCUUGACUGAGUGUCCUGGGGGUCCGAAGCAUUUACUUUGAAAAAAAUUGUGUUCAAAGCAGGCCGGUCGCCUGAAUAUUUCAGCUAGGAAUAAUGGAAUAGGACUCUGGUUCUAUUUCUGGGGCCAUGAUUAAAAGGGACGGCCGGAGGCAUUCGUAUUGUGCUGCUACAGGUGAAAUUAUUGGACCGGCGCAAGAUGAGCGAAAGCAUUACCCAAGAAUGGUUUCAUUAAUCAAGAAUGAAAGUCUGGGGUUCGAAGACUAUCUGAUAACGUUGUAGUUCCCACCAUAAACUAUGCCGACUAGCAAUCUGGCGGCGUUAUUUCCAUGACCCGCCGAGCAGCCUCCGGGAAACCAAAGUCUUUGGGUUCCGGGGGGAGUAUGGUUGCAAAGCUGAAACUUAAAGUAAUUGACGGAAGGGCACCACCAGCCUUCAACACCGGAAACUUCACCCGGCCCAGACACAGAAAGGAUUGACGGAUUGAUGGCUCUUUCUCGAUUCUGUGGGUGUUGGUGUAUGGCCGUUCUUAGUUAGUGGAGCGAUUUGUCUAGUUAAUUCCGAUAACGAACGAGACUCCUCCAUGCUAACUAGUUAUGCGCCCCCCCCAGCGGUCGGCGUUACACUUCUUAGGGGGACAGGUGGCGUUCAGCCACACGAGAUCGAGCAAUAACGGGUCUGGGAUGCCCUUAGAUGUCCGGGGCUGCACGUGUGCUACACUGAACGGAUCAGCGUGUGUCUACCCUUCGCCGACAGGUGUGGCUAACCCGCUGAACGUUGUUCGUGCUGGGGAUUGCAAUUAUUUCCCAUGAACGAGGAAUUCCCAGUAAGUGCGGGUCAUAAGCGUGCGUUGAUUAAGUCCCUGCCCUUUGUACACACCGCCCGGUGCUACUACCGAUUGGAUAGUUUAGUGAGGUCCUCGGAUCGGCCCCGCCGGGGUCCACAAUGGCCCUGGCGGUGCGGCGAGAAGACUAUCUAGAGGAAGUAAAAGUCAUACGGGUUGGGUUAACCUGCC
rnacentral:rRNA from 1 species